CUUGACUAAUUAUAAGAGGUUUAGCCUGCCCAGUGACACAUGUUCAACGGCCGCGGUAUCCUAACCGUGCAAAGGUAGCGUAAUCACUUGUUCUUUAAAUCAGGACUAGUAUGAACGGCAUCACGAAGGUUAUACUGUCUCCUUUCUCUAAUCAGUAAAACUAAUCUCCCCGUGAAGAAGCGAGGAUAAAUUUAUAAGACGAGAAGACCCUAUGGAGCUUUAAACUAACCAGCAUUUGCUAUAUACAAAAUUUUUAACAAUUUAAAGAUAUCUAGCCCUCUGACUGGUAAUUUUCGAUUGGGGUGAUCACGGAACAAAAAAUAACCUCCGUGUCGAAAGGAUUUACCUGAGCAAAAAGCGACAGCUUUCUGCACUAAAAAAUUAACGUUUAUUGACCCAACAUUUUGAUCAACGAAC
rnacentral:rRNA from 1 species